rnacentral:tRNA from 1 species
AGCAAAGCGUCUGCGAAGCCGACCCCGUGUCCCCUUCGUCUAGAGGCCUAGGACACCGCCCUUUCACGGCGGUAACAGGGGUUCGAAUCCCCUAGGGGACGCCA